ensembl:lncRNA
UCAAAGGAUGCAGUCGGUCAGGCCGACUUCAGCAACAUAAGCCCCCCAUAAGCUGCUGUCCCACCGCCACAAUGCUCAGAAGAGGAGCAAAAUCAAUUGGACGUGUCCACUGAUGAAGAUCACGUAACAUUUUUAAAUGGACUUGAUGGUGCUGGCGUGCAGACGGCCUCACCUGGUCCCCUGAGCACCUCUGGUGAAGUGGGGCCGCUGCCCUUUCUGCCGCGGUGGAUUGGAGGAAUGUGGCAUGCAACACACACACACACACACACACACAGACAUAAACACACACGCUGAGAGGACCUCCCACCCCAGGACCGUAUACAGCCGAUAUGCACAGCGGCAUUUUUGAAGGCUUCCCACUCAAACAGGCAGCAGCAGUCUUCAUAUGGCCCUCCUUUUAUAUAGUCUGAAUGCA